CCUGAGCGAUGAGCCUGUCUUUUCUGUCCAGCGCCGGGGUGUGGAAGCUUGACCGCACCCGGGUCAGCUGAGUUAGGCAGGGCUGACUGGGAUCUUGAGGACCUCUCUGAGGGAGUUCCCUCGCGGCUGCCUGGCUCCAGAGUCUCUCACGUUCCCCGCUGAGGCUGUGGUCAGAACCGCGUGCGGCGAUCCCACCCUGGUCCGUCAACCUCCCACUGUCGCAGGUGACGCUGCAACAUACUGACACGGCCACAAGGUAUUGAAAAGAAUGAGCUCCCUUGCGAAAGAGCUCUCUGUGGACAGUCACACCCUCCUAUCGAGGAGCUCAGGCAAUUGACAGAGGAGGCCACGAGCAAGUCUCUCCUGACACAAUACCUCGGGCGGCAGAGGGUCUUCAGGACCUGCCUGGGGUAGGUCCGGCCGUGGUGUGGCUCCAGGGCCUGGGCAGACAGCAUCUGCGUGCCAAGCAUUGGUGCACACCCCUAAACGGGGGAGCCAAAACAGAAAUACAUAGAGAAAACUAAAAUCCUGAGCCUGCUAAUAUAGGCACAAAAGUGUCCACCAUAGGGAAUUCUGUCUGGUCCGAGGUCUCGUUGCUAAGAACUAUGGACAGCAUCGGCAGUGCCCGUUUGCCCAGUUUUCUCUCCAGGGGCAGGAGUCUGGCCCAAGGCACCGUCUCGGGGCAACGCCGAGCCAGCCUCUUUGGGGGCUUCCUUUGCUAUUGUUGGUUUUAGGUCCAUUCAAGCGGAUGGAUGGGCGAUCGAGGGGUACCUGGAGGUGCCUGGGGUUUGGCUCCCGUUCUCCUCCCUCUUGUUCCCAAUCCAAGGGACUAGAUGGAGGACCGUGGGCUCUCGGGCAGGCUGUGCUUGUUUCCCCACGCCACGUGCAGCUGUUUGGAUCGGCGACACCCCAAACCCCCAUCCUUCCCAUCCCCUCCCGUCCCAUCUGGCCACCCCAAGUCUGGGGUCCAGUGCAUGAGUGGCCUGUCUGCACCCAGGGUCCCUAGUGCCAUUUGUGAGACUCGCCCUCCCAGGGGUCUUCUGUGGCAUUGGUCUUUCUCUUGCGGACUUAUUUCUCUUCGCAGGAGAGUCUCUCAAGCCCUCCCUGUGGCCGAGCAGGGCCCCUUUGGUCCUGUUUGCAUGAUUAUGCUUCCAGAGCCUUGUUGCACGGGGUAUACGUACACCACCUCCCUCCUCCUGUCCGUGGGCGCUGGGCGCUGGGCGCUGGGCGUGUUUCCAUGUCUUGGUUUUCUGAGGCUCGUUGCCCUGUGUGCAUCUGGAUUCGGGCAUUGUGGAUUCAGGGCUUUGACCCCUCGUGGAAUGGGGGUGUUGGUUUUGUUUGGCUGUUGGCUGGUGUCAGCUGUGGAGCUGGUGCUUUGGCAACCGCGGCCUUCCCGGGGCUUUGGGACCCGGAUCGAGUUGUGCUGGGAUGUGCAUGGAAGGUGGGAGAAUGGUGCGAUGUCGGGGAGCAGCCCCGCUCCUCCCCGUGGUGUUCUCUCAAGAGGUCUCCUGACUCUCGGUGCCUAGAGGUCCAUGUGGGAGCCGCCCGGCUUCCCGAGAGACACCUGGUAUGAAUGCCUGAUCGAAAGAGAGGUCGAGUGGUUUCAGGCCGGUCGCUCGAUAGAAAGAAAGGGCGCACAGACAUUCCCCGUGGCUCCCAGGGUGAAAGGUCUGUCUUGGUCCCUUUGGGGGCUGGGAUCAUCGCUGUGGCUUGCAAACCGAGGACGGGAAAAUAACUCAUGCCUGUGUGAGGCGGGGUCCAAGUGGAAGGAACGCUGAGGGCUAGGGAGCAAAAACGGACAGGAAAGAAGCAAGGCUUUCCUGUCCGAAUGAAGGAAUGACAGUGGGAAGAGCCAGCAAACAUCAAUAGCUGCAUCCUGAGAAACCUAUGUUCACAAAUACCGGAGUACACGGAGAGGUGUAAUUUAUAUGUAUUCAAAAAAAAAGAAAAAAAGAAAAAAAAGAGGCAGGAUGCUGUCGUGGGAGAAUGGGUCUGGAGCUGAGGGUUUGAACGGUGUGGCUCAGGGUAGGUGGGCCUCAGGGCUCUGGGCCCCUUUGAGAGGGCGAGGGCGAGGGCGAGGGCGAGGGCAAGAACCCCCUGGGAAGGGCCCAGCUUGCUAGGUCCCCACAGCUUGCUUCCUCCCGAAGCAACAUAUUGCCCAGGGCCAAUGCAGCCCAGGUGCUGCUGGGCCAGCCCGAGCGGGAACCCCGGGGCGGUGCUGUGCGCGCAGAUGUCCACAAGACGGCGCCAGAGGCCCUUCUGGCCGCAGGUGCAGCUCGGAGGCGGCAGGCACCCGCCCAGGAGUGGGGUGGAUGCUGCGUGGGGCCGAAGCCGGAGCCAGCAGCCAGAGGUUUGUGGUGGUUUUCCGGGCACCGGGGACUCUCUGCGCCCAGGUGCCUGACGUCCGGCCGAGGACAGCGAGGUGUCUCUUCCACACUCGUUGGGGGAGAGGCAGCCUGGUUGGGUGGCAGGGUGCUCAGCCUUGUUGAGGGAGUCGCUGGGUUUCUCCACGCCUUGGGCUCCUCC
rnacentral:lncRNA from 1 species